rnacentral:rRNA from 1 species
UACGUAGGGGCCUAGCGUUGUCCGGAUUUAUUGGGCGUAAAGAGCUCGUAGGCGGCACGGUUAGUCAGGUGUGAAACCUCCAGGCUCAACCUGGAGACGCCACUCGAUACUGGCGUGACUAGAGUUCGGUAGGGGACCACGGAAUUCCUGGUGUAGCGGUGAAAUGCGCAGAUAUCAGGAGGAACACCAGUGGCGAAGGCGGUGGUCUGGGCCGAUACUGACGCUGUAGAGCGAAAGCGUGGGGAGCGAACAGG